GACGAACGCUGGCGGCGUGCUUAACACAUGCAAGUCUACGAGGACGAGGUAGCAAUAUCUUUAGUAAAGUGGCGUACGGGUGCGUAACACGUAAGUAAUCUACCUUUGGGUUCGGAAUAACUUCGGGAAAUCGGAGCUAAUACCGGAUAAUGCAGCGGCACCGCAUGGUGAUGUUGUUAAAGUUUGCGUAACGCCUAAAGAUGAGCUUGCGUCUGAUUAGUUUGUUGGUGAGGUAACGGCUCACCAAGGCUGCGAUCAGUAGCUGGUCUGAGAGGAUGAUCAGCCACACUGGAACUGAGACACGGUCCAGACUCCUACGGGAGGCAGCAGUGAGGAAUCUUGCGCAAUGGGGGAAACCCUGACGCAGCAACGCCGCGUGAGUGAGGAAGGCCUUGGGUCGUAAAGCUCUGUCAGAUGGGAAGAAAUGGAUGGGGCGUAAUAUCGCCCAUCCUUGACGGUACCAUCAGAGGAAGCACCGGCUAACUCCGUCG
rnacentral:rRNA from 1 species